UACGUAGGGUGCGAGCGUUAAUCGGAAUUACUGGCGUAAAGCGUGCGCAGGCGGCGCGUUAAGACAGGUGUGAAGCCCGAGCUUAACUUGGGAAUUGCGCUUGUGACUGGCGUGCUGGAGUGUGGCAGAGGAGGUGAAUUCCACGUGUAGCAGUGAAUGCGUAGAGAUGUGGAGAACACCGAUGGCGAAGGCAGCCUCUGGCCAGCACUGACGCUCAUGCACGAAGCGUGGGAGCAAACAGG
rnacentral:rRNA from 1 species